rnacentral:lncRNA from 1 species
UUUCUCAUCUUAUGACGAGCGAGAUGUCUUAGGAUUAACAAUAUUCAAACGCGUUGUGAUUGUGUCCACACUGAGGCCGCCAUCUGCAUGGUUGGGAAGGACGAUAAAUGGCAACUGAGAUGGAACGCCAUGUGUUGAAAUAAAGGACAUGGAUCUAUUGAAGUCUUGCAACGCACAUGCCAUUUUGUUAGUGUCCUUUUAAUCAUCUAAUCACAGAAUUGAUUCGCGUCAGACAUCGGGGCUUAUAAGAUACGGGAGCACAACUUCCGGUUUAAUUUGUCUUGUGCAAACAACACAACCCCAUCUUUAAGUUUGUUCAUUUACUUAAGCAGGUUCUGUGUGUUGGUGGAUAGAGACCGAUCGAUGGGACAAUUUUCUACGGAGUAAUAAUCAUGGAUGAUGGUGCUUUCUUACCUUUAAUCACGAGUGGAUCAUGGAGUGGUUCACCGUUUGCAAGGACGUCGGACGGAGCUGGAGGGAGCGCUGCCGCUGCUUCUGGGUGGGGUGGCGGGCCCGCCGGUGGGACAGGAUCUCAGGGCCCACAUGGGCAUAGACUGGGGGCAGAUUCCUGAAUCUCGCCUUCACGUGGCCCCCUCUGUGCCGUCCAAUAACAUCUCGCUUCCCUCGGCCUCAUGUAUGAACUGACUGCUACGGGACCCCGGAGAUCGCGAUUGAAAUUUGCGGUGGCGGAACUGACUGCUUCCCCAACUGAAUUUUCAUUGAAAUUUGGCCUAAAGCCAGAUUGUUCAGCAAUACAAACAGGGGACAGAGAGAGUGUGUUACAGAGUUACGAGCGGAGCUGGAGAAUACAGUGCAGCCAUAUGCAUCGGGCGUCGGCGCGGCGCGGUGAAGAAGGGGGAGGCGGCGCUUCCAUAGGGACGGGCGGAAGACUCUCGAACACCUCCGCAUUGCGCUGCUUCCAGAGGUGCCGGCAGCAGAGAAGCAGCAAGGUGUGAGCAGAGGCGCCCCUGGAGAGCCAUAGGGAGCGCGGCACAGUCGAGAUCCGCCAGCUCAAGAUAUGAACACAAAUAUUUCACAAUGAAGGAAACAUCGCCAGAGAGGGACCUCCUCCGCCCUGCGGCCCCGGCGGCGGCUAGUUUUUUUUUUUUGAAGCGGCACAGUCAGUUCCGCCACCGCAAACUUCACCUCUGUGCCGUCCAAACUUCACGUGGCCCACCGCCGCCCCCGCAGGUAGAGCUGGAGGACAUGGAGGCGGAGGCGGAGUACCAAGCCGCCCUCGAGGAGGCCCUGCAGCACGCGUUGGAGGCUAGCCGCCUCGAGGAGGACGCGCACUGGGAUAGGCUGGAGCAAGCCCUUGCCCUGUCGGCGGCGGGGGACUCCGUCCACACCCCGCUCUUCAUGCCGCCACCGUCACCGUCGCCGCCCGUCCAGCCCAAGCCGGAGCUGGAGCCGAAGCCGACGCGUAAGCGCUCCCCGCCUCCACCCACUUGGCCGGAGGAGGCCUACUCGUGGACGGGCCAGUACCGCGAGUGGGUGAGCGCGCCUCCCGUCCACUUCGCCGCGACGCCAGAGGAGGAGGCGGC